rnacentral:rRNA from 1 species
GUCGAGCGAACAGAUAAGGAGCUUGCUCCUUUGACGUUAGCGCGCGGACGGGUGAGUAACACGUGGGUAACCUACCUAUAAGACUGGGACAACUUCGGGAAACCGGAGCUAAUACCGGAUAAUAUGUUGAACCGCAUGGUUCAAUAGUGAAAGAUGGUUUUGCUAUCACUUAUUGAUGGACCCGCGCCGUAUUAGCUAGUUGGUGAGGUAACGGCUCACCAAGGCAACGAUACGUAGCCGACCUGAGAGGGUGAUCGGCCACUCUGGAACUGAGACACGGUCCAGACUCCUACGGGAGGCAGCAGUAGGGAAUCUUCCGCAAUGGGCGAAAGCCUGACGGAGCAACGCCGCGUGAGUGAUGAAGGUCUUAGGAUCGUAAAACUCUGUUAUUAGGGAAGAACAAACGUGUAAGUAACUGUGCACGUCUUGACGGUACCUAAUCAGAAAGCCACGGCUAACUACGUGCCAGCAGCCGCGGUAAUACGUAGGUGGCAAGCGUUAUCCGGAAUUAUUGGGCGUAAAGCGCGCGUAGGCGGUUUUUUAAGUCUGAUGUGAAAGCCCACGGCUCAACCGUGGAGGGUCAUUGGAAACUGGAAAACUUGAGUGCAGAAGAGGAAAGUGGAAUUCCAUGUGUAGCGGUGAAAUGCGCAGAGAUAUGGAGGAACACCAGUGGCGAAGGCGACUUUCUGGUCUGUAACUGACCCUAAUGUGCGAAAGCAUGGGGAUCAAACUGGAUUAGAUACCCUGGUAGUCCACGCCGUAAACUAUGAGGGCUAAGUGUUAGGGGGU